rnacentral:rRNA from 1 species
UACAGAGGUCCCAAGCGUUGUUCGGAUUCACUGGGCGUAAAGGGUGCGUAGGUGGUCAGGUAAGUCGGAUGUGAAAUCUCCGAGCUCAACUCGGAAACCUGCAUUGGAAAACUACCUGGCUCGAGGGUUGGAGGGGGGACUGGAAUGCUUGGUGUAGCAGUGAAAAUGCGUAGAUAUCAAGCGGAACACCAGUGGCGAAGGCGAGUCCCUGGACAACUCCUGACACUGAUGCACGAAAGCUAGGGGAGCAAACAGG